rnacentral:rRNA from 1 species
CCCAGACUCCUACGGGAGGCAGCAGUGGGGAAUAUUGCACAAUGGGCGAAAGCCUGAUGCAGCAACGCCGCGUGAAGGAAGAAGGCCUUCGGGUCGUAAACUUCUGUCCUUGGGGAAGAAGAACUGACGGUACCCAAGGAGGAAGCACCGGCUAACUACGUGCCAGCAGCCGCGGUAAAACGUAGGGUGCAAGCGUUGUCCGGAAUUACUGGGUGUAAAGGGAGCGCAGGCGGACUGUCAAGUUGGGAGUGAAAACUACGGGCUCAACCCGUAACUUGCUUUCAAAACUGGCGGUCUUGAGUGGUGUAGAGGUAGGCGGAAUUCCCGGUGUAGCGGUGGAAUGCGUAGAUAUCGGGAGGAACACCAGUGGCGAAGGCGGCCUACUGGGCACUAACUGACGCUGAGGCUCGAAAGCAUGGGUAGCAAACAGGAUUAGAUACCCUCGUAC